rnacentral:lncRNA from 1 species
AGAGAAGCUGAGGCUUACUGCAGACAAGCAACUUGCCCAGAGUCAGAGGAAAAGGAAGUGGGCACCUGAGUGAGACUCUGCCAGGCUCUGCUGGGAGCCCUUCAUGUGUACAGGCUGAUCCCAGGCUCACAGCAAGCCCGUGAGGUCCAGGCGGUCGCCAUUCUCCUCAUGCUUACAGAUGGGGAAACCGAGGCACAGCUCAUCUCCGAGGUCCCCGUGUUAGGAAACGUCAGAGCCAGGAUUUGAACUCAGGCAACUUCUCGCCGGAGUCUGUGCUCUGGACCCCACGGGGAGGGGUGAGAUGGAAGCCAGGCAUUUACAGAAGCCAAGACCAGGGAAGAGCAUGGACCUUAGACCACAGCACCCCUGAACCAUCGAGCCCCUGCCACACUUCCUGGAAUGCUCUUUGUGGAGCAUUGAAUAGUGUUCACCCAAAAGUCAUGCCCUCCUCCGAAUGUAACCUCAUCUGGAAAUGGGGACACUGCAGAUGUCAUGAAGGUAAGGACGGAAAAGAGCGCGCACUGGAGUAGGCUGGGCAUGAAAUCCAGGGAGAGAGUCCUUCUGGGAAGGAGGAGAGCAGACACAGAGACACACAGGAGGGCGACACGGAGGCACAGGCGGAGACUGCAGUGGAAUCAUGCUUCCACAAGCCGAGGAACACCGACGGCUGCCGGCACACCACAGCUAGGAGCGCCAAGGGCUGCCGGUACACCACACACCACAGCUGCACAGAGGCCUGGGACAGAUGCUCCCAUGGAGCCUGCACAAGAAGCCUCUCUGCCCACACCUUGACUUUGGACUUGAAGCCUUCAGAGCGGUGAGAGGAGAGGCUCCUGUUGCGUGAGGCCGGCAGCCCCAGGACACACACUCUUCCCGUGGGGCCAGCUCCUCCCUCCCCAGCACCACGAGGCGCCCCGGAGAAUUGGGCUCUUGACCCGGGCCAGGCAGGAAAUGCAGGCUUGCUCUUUAAAACACAUUAAAAGGGAUCCUGCAAAGGUUAAAAAAAAUAAGCAGAUGAACAAGAUAAGCGUUCCCCUGGGACCUGAAAGACGCAGAAGAACAAGUAGGAGGAACAUUCGGAGGAGAAGACCUAGCUGCAGCUGGGUCCUGGCAAAGUUAUCGGGUUCUGCUCCCUCUGCCUGGGUGAGGUACUGGCAAAGUUCUCCGGUUCUGCGCCCUCUGCCCAGUUUGACCAAGGAGCUUAUGUUUUUAAGUCAUGGAAUAAAACAUGGAUUACUAUUGUGGGUUGAACUGCAUCCCCCAAAAAGAUCAGUGGAGGUCCUAGAAACACAGGACUUCAGAAUGUGACUGUGUCUGAAGACAAGGUCAUUGCAGAUGUAAUUGUUAAGAUGAAAUCAUACUGGAGCAGGCUGGGCCCACUCCAGUACGACCGAUGUCAUCAUAAGAGAAGAGACACAGAGACUCCACGUGGAGACAGAGGCGGAGAUGGGAGCAAUGUGGCCACAAACCCAGGGUUGCCACAACCAGCAGAAACUAGGAGGAGGCGAGGCAGGAGCCUCCCCUGCGCCUCCAGAGAGAGCCUGGCCCUGCCAAUACCGUGAUUUCGGACUUCUUUUAACCUCCAGAAUUGUGCAAGAAUAAAUGUUGCUUGUUUUGAGCCACCCAGCUUGUGGUCCUCAGUUACAACAGUCCCAGGAAACUAAUACAUCUAGUAAAUAAAAUGAGAGCGGUUUCUCUGCAUGAACUGAAAUGAUGGCGGGCUCUGCAGGGACAGUUCGCAGACAUCUGCAAACAAAUACUGUCCAAACCGUGGUAAACAGCCGUCUUUUAUUUCGGCGAAAGCCUUUGGGCCAGUUUUCGUAUGUUGUUGGAAGCACUAAAUCUCUCGCUGGCAGAGAUCUGCAAGCAGCUACAAGCCAGCGGCUCACCUGCAGCAAAACGCCUGGAGGCAGGUCCAUGCAAUGCCCACGUCUUGCAUGUCAUUGUGCAGUUAAACAGCUCCUGAACCAGAGAGCAGCUGCGCCCAGACAGCUUCCCGGGUGGUAAGAACUGUAUUUGACCUCCUGGCAGCACAAACGACUGAAUAACAAUUAAACAAAACAGGACAGUCUCCGUGUUUCAAAAUGCGCAUUUAAACCUAAAAGAAACACGGUGUGUUUACUUUCUGAGCCUGGCCUUCCCUGGGUGCACAGUGAGCCACUUCUGAAAGCGUAUGGGCACACCCGCUACAGAAACCAGCUUACACUGGCUCGGUUGCCAGUCCUGGGGCAUUUCAGAAGAAUUGAGUCAGAAAGGUGUUUUCUGUGGGUGAUUCAAAGGCUCCAGGUCUCCAGAAAUUUGUUGCAUGAAAUGGAGAAUAAGUAGGCUCGGGCUCGGACUUGGCCGCGUGCAGCUUCAGGGGUGAAGCUGCUUGGAGGCCAGGGGCCAGCCCCAGUGCUUGGAUGCUGGGGUGCAGAUCCGGGAAUGGGAUGAUAGCCAGGUGGAAAGGGGGAGGUGGCUCCUGGGUCUUGGAGAAGAGGGUGAGAAUAUAACCAAAGAUUUGUCUGAAAGCCAGACAGUGGAGAGUCAGCUUGGCUGUGAAUCAUACCUAGUUUGAGCAUAAAGAUGAGAAGUGAAAACAGAGAUGGGGAGGUAAAAAAGGAGGGGGAGGUGAACAGAGAGGCUUAGGUCCCCAUCGAUAACAGUAGCUAAUGACACGUGAACACGGGAUCUCUUUGCUUGCUUUUCUUUUUUUUUUUU